AUACGGGGGGUGCAAGCGUUAAUCGGAAUUACUGGGCGUAAAGCUCGCGUAGGCGGUUUGCUCAGUCGGAUGUGAAAGCCCAGGGCUCAACCUUGGAACUGCAUACGAUACUGGCAAACUAGAGUGUGAGAGAGGAUAGUGGAAUUUCCGGUGUAGCGGUGAAAUGCGUAGAUAUCGGAAGGAACAUCAGUGGCGAAGGCGACUGUCUGGCUCAACACUGACGCUGAGGUGCGAAAGCGUGGGUAGCAAACAGGAUUAGAAACCCUAGUAGUCC
rnacentral:rRNA from 1 species